GCUUGCCGUGACGACUGCCCGCCAAAACCAAGACCUGACAACGGCCAUGUGUGAAAGUGAAUGCCUGUGACCUCAAGAAGUACCUUCAAUAUGAAUAAGUUAUUGGAUUUUCCCGAUGUUGAUGAUGUGUAAAAUUGUCCUCUUAACACCUUUCUCGGGACUUUUUGGGGACAAUAUUAAAAUUCAGAAGAGUUUUUAAUAUUUUUGGAUGGAAAGCAGCAAU